rnacentral:tRNA from 1 species
AAGGGAGACCUAAUUCAGGUAUGGGACGAAAAAAAAGUAGUCGCUACCAAGAAUCAAUCCCAAAAGGUCGGAGCGAGGUAUGAGGCUUUCAAACUAGGUUCUGGGUUCAAACAAGACCUGAAUCAGGAACAAGGGCUAUUAGCUCAGGUGGUUAGAGCGUACCCCUGAUAAGGGUGAGGUCCCUGGUUCGAGUCCAGGAUGGCCCACCUGCACAGGUGGCAAAAACAAGAGAAGCUCCGAAUCAGCACCUUAUCUUAUCUAUAUAUAAGAGAGAAUGCUGGCUCUGAGUAAAGAGUCCAGAGGAACCUUGAAAACUGCAUAGAGCUAGGUGAAAAAGCCAAAAAAGAAGACCGCAA